GACGAACGCUGGCGGCGUGCUUAACACAUGCAAGUCGUACGGUAAGGCCCUUUCGGGGGUACACGAGUGGCGAACGGGUGAGUAACACGUGAGUAACCUGCCCACAACUUUGGGAUAACGCUAGGAAACUGGUGCUAAUACUGGAUAUGUGCUCCUGCUGCAUGGUGGGGGUUGGAAAGCUCCGGCGGUUGUGGAUGGACUCGCGGCCUAUCAGCUUGUUGGUGGGGUAGUGGCCUACCAAGGCGGCGACGGGUAGCCGGCCUGAGAGGGUGACCGGCCACAUUGGGACUGAGAUACGGCCCAGACUCCUACGGGAGGCAGAAGUGGGGAAGAUUGCACAAUGGGCGCAAGCCUGAUGCAGCAACGCCGCGUGCGGGAUGACGGCCUUCGGGUUGUAAACCGCUUUCAGCAGGGACGAAGCUUUUUGUGACGGUACCUGCAGAAGAAGCACCGGCUAACUACGUG
rnacentral:rRNA from 1 species